rnacentral:rRNA from 1 species
UCGAGAAUCUUCGGCAAUGGGCGAAAGCCUGACCGAGCGACGCCGCGUGUGCGAUGAAGGCCCUUCGGGUUGUAAAGCACUGUCGAGAGGAAACAAGCCGCAAGGUUGAGUGACCUCUGGAGGAAGCACGGGCUAAGUUCGUGCCAGCAGCCGCGGUAAGACGAACCGUGCGAACGUUGUUCGGAAUCACUGGGCUUAAAGGGUGCGUAGGCGGAAUGGCAAGUCGGAGGUGAAAGCCCCCAGCUUAACUGGGGAAGUGCCCUCGAUACUGCUGUUCUCGAGAGAGGUAGGGGCGUGUGGAACUUCCGGUGGAGCGGUGAAAUGCGUAGAUAUCGGAAGGAACGCCGGUGGCGAAAGCGAUGCGCUGGACCUUUUCUGACGCUGAGGCACGAAAGCUAGGGGAGCGAACGGG